rnacentral:rRNA from 1 species
AUGAAAAUCAUCAGUUGGAACUGCCGGGGACUCGGGAACGGCCCGGCAGUUCGGAGUCUCCUCGAGAUGGGGAGAAUGGAGGAUCCUGAGAUUUUAUUUCUUGCUGAAACGAGGUUGACGGAGAGGGAACUGGAGAGUUUUCGGUGGUCACUUGGACUUGCUCACAUGCUUGUGUGGGACCCAGUUGGAAGGAGUAGGGGCAUUGCUAUGUUUUGGAGAAGAGGGGUGGAUGUAUCUUUGAGAUCGUAUGGACGGAGGCAUGUUGAUGUUGAUGUGGCAGGAGAAGGAGGUAGUAUUUGGAGACUUACAGGUGUGUAUGGCGAGUCAGCUGCAGAAUGAAAGAAAGAUACUUAGCGUACAAUGAGGCUUCUAGGCCAACAACACCAAGCCGGACGACCUUGGCUGUGCCUCGGGGACUUUAAUGAAAUUUUGGUUUGUGAUGAAAAAGUGGGGGGUGCUGCACGAUCGCAGGCUUGCAUGGGCAGAUUCAGAGAGGCGCUGGUGUGUUGUGAUCUCUAUGAUGUUGGUUAUGUGGGAGAUAAAUUUACGUGGAGGAAUCACAGUAAGGAUCUCAAUUCUUAUAUUUGCGAGAGGUUGGACCGUGCAGCAGCAAACACAAAAUGGUGUGAAACUUUCCCGGAGUUUUCUGUAGUUAAUGGUAACCCACGUCACUCCGAUCACCGCCCAGUCAUUGUGUGCACAGAAGGACAACAGAGAAGUGGCAGAAGGGGGGACCGAGGGUUCCGGUUUGAAGCCUGGUGGUUGCAAGAGGCCGGAUGCAGCGAAGAAAUACAAGGAGCAUGGGAGGAAGGCUGGAUGAAGGGCGACGAAGGGGUGGCAGGGGUUAUGGGUACUGUGGCGGGGCGAAUGGUGAAAUGGCAAAAGGAGGUGGUGGGUGAGUUGGAGGGACGGCUGAAGAAGGCGAGGGCGGAUCUGGAGAGGUGUAUGAGAGAGCCUGUCUCCAAGCAGAAGGUUAAAGAAGAGGCUGAGCUGAAGUGCGUGGUAAGGGACUUGGAGGACAAGAAGAACACUAAAGUAAAACAGCGUACCCAUAUCUCAUGGUUGAAGGAUGGCAACAGAAGCACCCGUUAUUUCAUGGCCUAUGCCUCGGCGAGAAAGAAGUCGAAUAGGGUGGAGGAGUUA